rnacentral:lncRNA from 1 species
GAUACACUGUCUACCUGAUUAGAACAAGACGGUCCAGCAAGCUCAGUCUCAAUCACGAUUGCUUUUUGUUUGUCCAAAGAACUGCGUGAAGACAAUGAUGAAAACGAGAAUGAACUAGCACGAGGUGAUCUGCGAGGGAGGCUGAGAUGUGGUAUGGCUUGCAUGACACCGUUUACUAUCCCUGAAGCAAACUUCUUCUUUGUUGUUGGACUUGGAAGGUCACUACUAGCAGAGAGUGUUCGUUUGUGGCUCGAGAGUGAUGAAGGCUUGGAGUACCUUUCUCGUAUGAGAAUGAACUAGCACGAGGUGAUCUACGAGGGAGGCUGAGAUGUGGUAUGGCUUGCAUGACACCGUUUACUAUCCCUGAAGCAAACUUCUUCUUUGCUGUUGGACUUGGAAUGUUACUACUAGCAGAGAGCGUCCGUUUGUGGCUGGAGAAUGAUGAAGGCUUGG